rnacentral:lncRNA from 1 species
GUAUAUGAAUGAAAUUCUUUUAAUCGAGAAUGACAUUCCUUACAUUACAGGGAAUAAAAGUUUUGUUAUUAUUAUUGUUCUCCAUAAAGGACUUGAAAAAAGUAUCCCUCAUCCUAGGGAUGAAGAUCUAUAGAGGUGGAUCUAAGAGGCUGCUUGGAUUAUCCUAGUCCAACGUACAUAGAGUGUUUAAAAGUAGAAUUUAUUCUGUUAUAUACAUCAUGUAUG